UUCUUUCCUUAAUCGCGUUGUCCACGUCAACUCUUAUUAAAAGUUGCGCAACUCCAUUAUGUACCCUGGAGUACAGUCCUACUUGUGCGACGGAUGAAAAGGGUGAGAAAUAUUUCUUUGGUAACAAAUGCGGUUUAAAAAAUGCUAACUGCAGGCGUAAGGAUUCAGGGUUGCCACCUUUGAAACGUACUUUUGAUGAUUGCCCUCCCC